rnacentral:rRNA from 1 species
GACGAACGCUGGCGGCGUGCCUAAUACAUGCAAGUCGAACGCUUUUUCUUUCACCGGAGCUUGCUCCACCGAAAGAAAAAGAGUGGCGAACGGGUGAGUAACACGUGGGUAACCUGCCCAUCAGAAGGGGACAACACUUGGAAACAGGUGCUAAUACCGUAUAACACUAUUUUCCGCAUGGGAGAAAGUUGAAAGGCGCUUUUGCGUCACUGAUGGAUGGACCGGCGGUGCAUUAGCUAGUUGGUGAGGUAACGGCUCACCAAGGCAACGCUGCAUAGCCGACCUGAGAGGGUGAUCGGCCACACUGGGACUGAGACACGGCCCAGACUCCUACGGGAGGCAGCAGUAGGGAAUCUUCGGCAAUGGACGAAAGUCUGACCGAGCAACGCCGCGUGAGUGAAGAAGGUUUUCGGAUCGUAAAACUCUGUUGUUAGAGAAGAACAAGGAUGAGAGUAAAAUGUUCAUCCCUUGACGGUAUCUAACCAGAAAGCCACGGCUAACUACGUGCCAGCAGCCGCAGUAA